GUUAGGCAUCUCUCUACUCAACAUUAGGUUAUACCUUCAUCCCUCUAUGUUCACAGUUGAAGGGAUGAGAGAUGGAGGGAGGGGUAGAGGAGGGGUGGAGGGAGGGAUGGAGGAGGGAUGAAGGAGGGAUGGAGGGAGGGGUAGAGGAGGGAUGAAGGAGGGAUGGAGGGAUGGAAGGAGGGAGGGAGUAGGGAUAGAGGAGGGAUGGAUGGAGGGAGGGAGGGAGGGAGGGAUAGAGGAGGGAUGAAGGGGGAUGGAGGGAGGAGGGGUGAGGACGAAGGAGGGGUGAGGAGGCGAGAGGAAGAGAAGGGAGGAAGCAUCUUCAGACUAUUGAGAUUCAGCCGGCCUGAAUUCCCUCCAUUAUUCAAACAAUUCAGUUAGUGCUCUUGACAGAUAGCAUUUAGCCAACUGUUAGCUCUAGACAGACAGCUAGCUAACCGUUAGCUCUAGACAGACAGCUAGCUAACCGUUAGCUCUAAACAGACAGUUAGCUAACCACAGUUAGCCAACCGUUAGCCAACCGUUAGCUCUAGACAGUUAGCUAACCGUUAGCUCUAGACAGACAGCUAGCUAACCGUUAGCUCUUGACAGAUAGCAUUUAGCUAACCGUUAGCUCUAGACAGAUAGCAUUUAGCUAACCGUUAGCUCUAGACAGACAGCUAGCUAACCGUUAGCUCUUGACAGAUAGCAUUUAGCUAACCGUUAGCUCU
rnacentral:lncRNA from 1 species